rfam:Caenorhabditis brenneri strain PB2801 C_brenneri-6.0.1_Cont127.8, whole genome shotgun sequence.
GACCUCAUGGCCUAGUGGCUAACGCUGUCAUUUUUUAAUUUUGAGGUCGUGGGUUCAACCCCCACCGGGGUCA